rnacentral:rRNA from 1 species
GCACGAAGUUAGCCGGGGCUUCUUCUGCGGGUACCGUCAUUAUCUUCCCCGCCGAAAGGGCUUUACAACCCUAGGGCCUUCAUCACCCACGCGGCAUGGCUGGAUCAGGCUUGCGCCCAUUGUCCAAGAUUCCCCACUGCUGCCUCCCGUAGGAGUCUGGGCCGUGUCUCAGUCCCAGUGUGGCUGAUCAUCCUCUCAGACCAGCUACUGAUCGUCGCCUUGGUGGGCCGUUACCCCACCAACUAGCUAAUCAGACGCGGGCCGAUCCUUCGGCGAUAAAUCUUUCCCCGUUAAGGGCGUAUCCGGUAUUAGCCCAAGUUUCCCUGGGUUGUUCCGAACCGAAGGGCACGUUCCCACGUGUUACUCACCCGUCUGCCGCUCCCGUAUUGCUACGGGCGCUCGACUUGCAUGUGUUAAGCCUGCCGCCAGCGUUCGCU